UGAAGUCGGAAUCGCUAGUAAUCGUGAAUCAGAAUGUCACGGUGAAUACGUUCCCGGGCCUUGUACACACCGCCCGUCACACCAUGGGAGUGGGUUGCACCAGAAGUAGAUAGCUUAACCUUCGGGAGGGCGUUUACCACGGUGUGGUCCAUGACUGGGGUGAAGUCGUAACAAGGUAACCGUAGGGGAACCUGCGGUUGGAUCACCUCCUUACGAAGA
rnacentral:rRNA from 1 species